rnacentral:rRNA from 1 species
CCUGGCUCAGGAUGAACGCUAGCUACAGGCUUAACACAUGCAAGUCGAGGGGCAGCAUGGUCUUAGCUUGCUAAGGCCGAUGGCGACCGGCGCACGGGUGAGUAACACGUAUCCAACCUGCCGUCUACUCUUGGACAGCCUUCUGAAAGGAAGAUUAAUACAAGAUGGCAUCAUGAGUCCGCAUGUUCACAUGAUUAAAGGUAUUCCGGUAGACGAUGGGGAUGCGUUCCAUUAGAUAGUAGGCGGGGUAACGGCCCACCUAGUCUUCGAUGGAUAGGGGUUCUGAGAGGAAGGUCCCCCACAUUGGAACUGAGACACGGUCCAAACUCCUACGGGAGGCAGCAGUGAGGAAUAUUGGUCAAUGGGCGAGAGCCUGAACCAGCCAAGUAGCGUGAAGGAUGACUGCCCUAUGGGUUGUAAACUUCUUUUAUAAAGGAAUAAAGUCGGGUAUGGAUACCCGUUUGCAUGUACUUUAUGAAUAAGGAUCGGCUAACUCCGUGCCAGCAGCCGCGGUAAUACGGAGGAUCCGAGCGUUAUCCGGAUUUAUUGGGUUUAAAGGGAGCGUAGAUGGAUGUUUAAGUCAGUGUGAAAGUUUGCGGCUCAACCGUAAAAUUGCAGUUGAUACUGGAUAUCUUGAGUGCAGUUGAGGCAGGCGGAAUUCGUGGUGUAGCGGUGAAAUGCUUAGAUAUCACGAAGAACUCCGAUUGCGAAGGCAGCCUGCUAAGCUGCAACUGACAUUGAGGCUCGAAAGUGUGGGUAUCAAACAGGAUUAGAUACCCUGGUAGUCCACACGGUAAACGAUGAAUACUCGCUGUUUGCGAUAUACUGCAAGCGGCCAAGCGAAAGCGUUAAGUAUUCCACCUGGGGAGUACGCCGGCAACGGUGAAACUCAAAGGAAUUGACGGGGGCCCGCACAAGCGGAGGAACAUGUGGUUUAAUUCGAUGAUACGCGAGGAACCUUACCCGGGCUUAAAUUGCAGAUGAAUUACGGUGAAAGCCGUAAGCCGCAAGGCAUCUGUGAAGGUGCUGCAUGGUUGUCGUCAGCUCGUGCCGUGAGGUGUCGGCUUAAGUGCCAUAACGAGCGCAACCCUUGUUGUCAGUUACUAACAGGUUCCGCUGAGGACUCUGACAAGACUGCCAUCGUAAGAUGUGAGGAAGGUGGGGAUGACGUCAAAUCAGCACGGCCCUUACGUCCGGGGCUACACACGUGUUACAAUGGGGGGUACAGAGGGCCGCUACCACGCGAGUGGAUGCCAAUCCCCAAAACCUCUCUCAGUUCGGACUGGAGUCUGCAACCCGACUCCACGAAGCUGGAUUCGCUAGUAAUCGCGCAUCAGCCACGGCGCGGUGAAUACGUUCCCGGGCCUUGUACACACCGCCC